rnacentral:lncRNA from 1 species
UUUUUAAAGCUAUUUGUUUUUGUUCGUAUUUCCUCUUCUUCUUCCCAAAUGCAAAAAAAUUCCCCUUUUCUCAUUAUUGCCACCUGUUUUGUUUGCUUCUUCUUUAAUUUAGUAGCUUUACUACAGGGUGCACACGACAAACCCCACCACUCCUGUUAUCCAUCCCUGGAUACAGGAUGGAAGAGAAAAAACGCGCCCUAAUUUUUCUGAACUACCCUAAUGUCCUGAAACUUUUCUGGGAUUUUGGGUAUUUUAUUAUUCCCAUGUACCGCCUCUAAAAACUACUCAGGCGGCAACGUACUGUGAACAGCUGCUUGAAUGAAUGGAAAAGGAGGAAGCAAAUAAGAUAAAUACUACGCGCGGGUGAAGAAGAAGCACCCAAACAAAAAAUAUCAAUGGAUACAACGAGGUUCUGGUGGAGAUUUAUGGCCAAUAAAGGAGAUUUUAAACAAGAUAUCAUGUUGGCGACCCUGGGUCUAUAUAAAAAAAACUUGAUGGCCGAUUCUGAAAGAUGGCGGAUCGAAGCAGAAUGAAAUGGUGUUGUUCCCGAUGGACUCGUUAUUAAGGUGGUUCCGGAAAUUAAGGGAAAGUGUAAUGAAUUAUAUUUGAAAUAUAAAAAGUGGACUUUAGUGAAAAUUAAAAUGUGGUUCGGUGCAUAAAAAAAUUUUGGCUACAGUGUGCGUUAAAAGUGUGAGUGCCGGGUAAAAAAAAUUAAUCGAAUAAAAAAAAAAUUUAUAAAUUUAAAAUAAUUUCGGUUCGGGUUUCGGAAAACGUGGUAUCAGCAAAAAAAAAUGGAAUUUACAGUGCGUGUAAAAAGCAAACAGACAAAAAAAUUAAUUGAGAAAAAUUAAAAAAAAUCAUUUGAUCGAAAUUUACAGUGAGUGUCAAAAGUGUACGGACAAAAAAAUAAAAGUUUUAAAAUUUAUUUAAAGUGAAGUUGGAACAUACCGUGAAUACAAAAAGUAACCAAAUAAAAACUAACUUUUGAAAAAAACCCUUUUUCGUGAAACUUGUCAAAGUGUGUUGUUUAAGUGAAAUAUGAACAAAAACUUAUACAGUGAGAACCAAAGUGGAAGUGAAGUGGAAAAAUUUAUUUUAAGUGACUGGAUCUAAUAAGUGAGACCAACGGAAACUAAAGUUUGAAAAUUUACUGUGGCCAUCGAAAAUUUGAAAAUCAGUUAAAUUUAAAACAAAAUUAUUUGUGUAAACAAAAAUUAAGUGAACAGUGACCAAAACCUUUUGUAACCAAACUAAAAGAAAAAUUAUUAGAGAAAACUAAAAAAAUCAAACCAAUCCUAAAUGGAUAAAAUAAAAGAAAAGUGAAAAUACAAUUAUUUCUUCAAUUAUAAUAUCUUUGGUUUUAAUUCUAAAUUAAUAAUUUUAUAAAUUUUCUUUUACUUUCAGGUAAUAAAAUUCAAUUGGACCUGGGAUUUGGCCUUGGUUUGCUGCUUCCGCUCGGGAAAGGUUUCAAUCAUCAUAUUUUUUUGGCUAAAGAAAAACAACAGCAUCAACUGUAAGAUCGAGAGGAAAAUUUCUCCAAUUAACGAAAUUUUAAUCGGUCUAAACUUGUCAUUUUCAGAGAACACCGGGAUUAGGUUUGGGUUGAACGAGUCUCCCCUGUUUGGGACUCGCUCCCCUUCAGGUUUCCCUCACAUUUAGGGCAAUUAGGGGUGUCUACCUCGAAGAUUGGUAGAGGCGUUUCAUCACUGAACUGUAGUUCAUGUACUCGAACGACGAUCCAUAAUUUGCUUCUGCAAUUGGAACUCACUGCCAUACCUCCUGAAUUGUGUGAGAAAUGCUCCAACGAGCUCGUCCCAGGACUGUAUCGUGCUCUGCUUACGCAAAGUCCAGUACCAAUCCAGCGCCUGACCUUCCAAAAGGGUGUGGAAACGUCGUAAGAGAUCAUUGAAAGUGCAAUUAUAAUCUUGCCUCAACACAUCGACUCGAAAAAUGAAGUCUUCGGCACUCAUUGAUCUCGAUGUACCAUCGAGUCGGUAAACGCACCUUCGGUUGGCCAACUAGGAGCUUGCGACGAUUGAACUGGAUUAGCAGUCGGUGCUCCAUGACUCGGUUGCGUAUUGGCGGCAUUAUUUGAGGAAAACUAAGUGGCGGCUGAAUGUUAUUUCCCGGAGGAAAAAGUGGUACGGCAGGUUGUGGACCAGGUGUUGACGGGAUUGUGCGAGAUACAGCAUUUGCAAUUUCUUGUUGCAUAUCUGAUCGCAACAACUUCAUUUGUCGCUGUAGUUCUUCCCGCAUAAAAUAAACAUAUCUCCUGGGGCUGGCAUAUUAUUUGCCGGUUGGGGAGCUGCAGGUGGCAUAACCGAACGGUACUGCACCGUCCUAGCAGUGAUGUUGCUGUAUUCCGGUGGCGUUAUAGUGUCGCUAGACUGGACAUUACCAGCAGGUUGAGGAACUUGAGGCGGAUUACUACCACGGUACUCCUCCUGUAUAUGUCUGGCGGUGGCACUACUGUAGUCUGGCAAAGUUAUGGUGCUGUUCGAAAUGGCCGAUUCAUCGAAGAAUCCAGAACGCUCUUGUGCCAUUGAUAUGAAUUGCUGAACGGCUGGUUUUACUGUCGGUGUUCUUGUAGCCGUAGUUGUGAUCGUGUUCGCUAUGGUAUAUACCGGGAGUGUAGAGGAAACUGUAGUUCCUACGAUAGUUCUACUUGCAUUUUCCAUAUUGGAUCUAGCCGAACGAGUUAAAACCAUUACUAUUUGUCUAAUUAGAAAGUUAUAGAUACAAAGUUAUAGAUAGAAAGUUAUAGACAAAGCAAAAUGAUAAAACCAAGAAAUUAAUUAUUUGUAUAACCAAACGCUAGUAAAAAAAAAAAAAACUAUUUAUUCUCCUCUUUUCCAAAGGAAAACUAAAAAAUCAACUCUAAAGAAAAGGACGUGAAGAUUCAACGAAAAAUAAAUCUAAAACGUUCGUAAAGUAAAGCUAAAACGUUCUACAAAGAAACUUAAAGUCUCAAUCCAAAAAGACCAAAGAUAAAUCUUGAAAUCUCUUCAAAAAUAAAUUAAAUCAAAAUCUUAACAUCGGCGGUGUAUUUCAGGAAAGUAAAGUUUGCAGGAGAUACAAACAUUAAAUGAAAUUUAAAUGGGCAGAAAAACAUGGCAUUAGUUUCCAACAGCUCCAGAUUAGAGUGCAGCUAGAAUUUUUGUUUACGAUCCUACAACUCCUAGGACUACUCUAACCACUUUACUGAGGACUUUUUUUUAAACAAACACCAUUAUUGCUGAAAAAGGGGCUGGCCUUAGCUAUUCUUUCUUCACAACUUAGCAUUCUCAGAUUUGCUAUGGAAAGCUGUUCUGAGAGCCUCAAAUUGUUUGGAAAGGAUAGGAUGAAGAAUCUAUAAUUCUGCAUGACCAUAUUGUCCACACCACACGUCGCAACGCGAACUAGAUUAGGGUUGUCCUGCUGUCCGGGACUUACGUAGGUGUGUGCAACACUGACCAUGCACAAUUAUAACUUCCCAUUUAUGAAUUGGAGAAAAGUAAAAAAACUAAAUUUACUAUUUCGUCCGACGACGUCGCAACAAUUAGAGGAUCUAGGUAUGACCUAACAGGACUUACGUUGACAUGACUAAAUAGGAUUAGAAAACUAAUUAAAGAACAGGCUAUGGACCUACUCGGGCCCCACGUUGGGCGCCAUUUUAUGUAGUGUAGUGGUGAUGUAUGUUUGGUAUGGUAUUACCAUACCAAAACAAAACAAAAGAAACUGGUGUUGCCAGAGUGGUAGCGGCGUUGGUAUGCUCGCGUUUGCCGGGCUUGGAGCUCGCCGGAUGCGAGUGGUUCUUGCUACUACUCUAGAAUCUACACACACAUAAAGAAAUCAUACCAGCUAACAAAAUAAACAAACUAAAAAUAUAAAUGGGCACCGAGUAGGUUUCUGUCUGUCUCCCUAAUGAAAUGUACCUACGAACUAUUAUGGCUGGCAGAUGUUGUGCCAGGUAAAACCCUCCCACUCGGGAUUGGAUAAUCUUGCCAUGACAUCCUAAUAUUAGGCAUGUCCCAAAAUUUACCCUACAAGCUUUCCUUUCCCUACUUUCCUUAUAUUGUUUAACCGGUCAUUUUAAUUGAUUUUAAAAUUUAAUUAUAAAUGUUGGACUUUAUUAUUGAAAUUAUUCUCAAACAAACUUUAAUCAUAUUAGAUUUAAAAUUUAGUUUAGUUUUAAUUUUAAGUUCAGAUUUAAGCUUUACAAUUUAGAUUUAGGUUUUAAAUUUAAGUUUUAAAUUUAAAAAAAAAUUUCUUGAAUAAAAUUUUAUUUAAUUUAUGAAAUAAAUCAAAAAUUUAGUUUUUUUCUUUAUGAUGGCCACUGACUCCACCUUCUUCUUCUAUCCGAGAAAAAAUCAAAAAGGAACGACAUUUUGUUUUUUUGAUACCGAGAAACCUCGGUUACCAAUAUGGCUUUCCAACUUUAACAAAUUGUUCAGCAAUUUGUUUGCCUAUAUACAAUUUUUUUUAAAGCUAUUUGUUUUUGUUCCUAUUUCCUCUUCUUCUUCCCAAAUGCAAAAAAAAAAAUCCCCUUUUCUCAUUAUUGCCACCUGUUUUGUGUGCUUCUUCUUUAAUUUAGUAGCUUUACUACAUGGUGCACACGACACGAGGUGGAGUCUGUGGCCAUCAUAAAGAAAAAAACUAAAUUUUUGAUUUUUUUCAUAAAUUAAAUAAAAUUUUAUUCAAAAAAUUCUUUUAAAUUUAAAACUUAAAUUUAAAGCCUAAAUCUAAAUUGUAAAGCCUACAUAUAUAUGUAAUACAUAUAUAUGUAAUAGUAUCAUUGAACUACACAUAGGCAUUUACAAAUUUCCUUUAUUAUUUUAUACACUUUUUUAAUGUGGCAACGCUUUUUUGAAUAUGUACAAAUAAAAUAUUUUAUUACGUACAAGAAGAAAACAAACAGGGGGAUUUUUGGCAAACUUUUUUCAGAGUUGCACGGUUGUGUACUUUUUGUGUAUACACGUGGAUAAGUACAUAAAAAAUAUAAACAAAGAAGAAAAUACAUAAAAAACGUAAACAAAAAGAUAACAAACCAUAACAAACUCAUUGAUAUAUUUGUGAAAUAUUUAAACAUCCAAAUAAAAAUUAAAAUCCUCUUUGAGCACUAAAUCUGAAAUGUGUUAUUAAUAGCGAAUCGAAAGACGAAUCAAUCUAAGUAUUAAGUGUUCUUCAAAGUACUUUCUUUGAAAUGCUGUGAUGUAACAAACUUUGAAGAUUUUACAAAUUUAACAAAGGUGUUUAUGCUUAAAAAAUUAAAAAUGUUCGUUGAGCAG